rnacentral:rRNA from 1 species
AAUGAACGCUAGCGAUAAGCCUAACACAUGCAAGUUGAAUGGUGUUGACCACCAUAGCGAACGGGUGAGUACCGCGUAAGAAUCUACCAAAAAAUUGGAGGGUAAUCCUCAAUAGCUCGUGCAGGAGUAAAGAUAUCUGUGAUCGUUUUUUGAUGAGCUUGCGUAAGAUUAGAUAGUUGGUAAGGUAAAAGCUUACCAAGUCGAUGAUCUUUCAUUGGUCUUAGCGGACGACCAAUCACAUCGGGACUGAGAGAUGGCCCGAACUCUUGAUGGAGGCAGCAGUGAGGAAU